GCGAACGGGAUUAGAUACCCUGGUAGUCCACGCCGUAAACGAUGUCGACUUGGAGGUUGUUCCCUUGAGGAGUGGCUUCCGGAGCUAACGCGUUAAGUCGACCGCCUGGGGAGUACGGCCGCAAGGUUAAAACUCAAAUGAAUUGACGGGGGCCCGCACAAGCGGUGGAGCAUGUGGUUUAAUUCGAUGCAACGCGAAGAACCUUACCUACUCUUGACAUCCAGAGAACUUAGCAGAGAUGCUUUGGUGCCUUCGGGAACUCUGAGACAGGUGCUGCAUGGCUGUCGUCAGCUCGUGUUGUGAAAUGUUGGGUUAAGUCCCGCAACGAGCGCAACCCUUAUCCUUUGUUGCCAGCGGUUAGGCCGGGAACUCAAAGGAGACUGCCAGUGAUAAACUGGAGGAAGGUGGGGAUGACGUCAAGUCAUCAUGGCCCUUACGAGUAGGGCUACACACGUGCUACAAUGGCGCAUACAAAGAGAAGCGACCUCGCGAGAGCAAGCGGACCUCAUAAAGUGCGUCGUAGUCCGGAUUGGAGUCUGCAACUCGACUCCAUGAAGUCGGAAUCGCUAGUAAUCGUAGAUCAGAAUGCUACGGUGAAUACGUUCCCGGGCCUUGUACACACCGCCCGUCACACCAUGGGAGUGGGUUGCAAAAGAAGUAGGUAGCUUAACCUUCGGGAGGGCGCUUACCACUUUGUGAUUCAUGACUGG
rnacentral:rRNA from 1 species